rnacentral:rRNA from 1 species
UACGGAGGAGGCAAGCGUUAUCCGGAAUUAUUGGGCGUAAAGCGUCCGCAGGUGGCACCUCAAGUCUGCUGUCAAAGACCGGGGCUUAACCCCAGAAAGGCAGUGGAAACUGAAGUGCUAGAGUGCAGUAGGGGUAGAGGGAAUUCCCGGUGUAGCGGUGAAAUGCGUAGAGAUCGGGAAGAACAUCGGUGGCGAAAGCGCUCUACUGGACUGCAACUGACACUCAGGGACGAAAGCUAGGGGAGCGAAUGGG